GUGCUUGCUUUAGCAGCACAUAUACUAAAGCUGAAAUGACGCUAAGGAGAUUAGCAUGGCUCCUUUGCAAGGAUGCCAUGCAACUGCAUGAAACAUUCCAUAUUUUG
ensembl:snRNA U6 U6 spliceosomal RNA